GUCACUUCACACCGUUUUGUCGCAGUAACUUAGGAGACAUCUAGUCUCCUACGAUAAUGCUAGAAAAUGAUCGAGCGCGGAGGGGGGACUUCACUUGGCACACACCUAGUAAGGAGGGAGAGAGAAUAUGAUUAAAGCGUGUAAAUUUUUACGCGGCCCCAGGCCAAACGGACCCGUCUUUCAUCGAGCUGAAAGAUCUACAUCAAAGUGAUCUUUGUAAGCAGUGGGGCAGCAAUUAUUGUCCAUUUGCAGACUGAGGGGUAAUCAUGGACAGGCUGCGGGAUAAUCAAGGACCUCGAAAAGAAAAUGAGAUAAUAAGCGUCAAAUAUGAAAGGAAAGAAAACGGAGAGCAAACUAGAAUCUUCAUUGAGAAUAAAAGGACAUGUGAUUAGCAUGACCAAAGGUUUAAAACACUCUGUUUGAAUAGAAUAGAUUGUCAUUACUUUCAUAUUGAAUGGAGUUCACUUCAUAUCACAUUAUCUAAAUAAGAAGAUGAAAUAGAUCUGGAAAAUAUAAGAUGUUGUAGUAUUCUUUCAAGUUUUUCUUGUUUUUUUGUGAGGGACAAUAAAAUGUAUAUAAAUAUUUUUUUCAGAUACAUUUAGCACUUUAGAGUUUCAGUCGGCACAUUCAAUAACAUACUGACUUUAUGGUUCCAAUCCUCCAUGUACACAAAAUAUAUGUUGUAAUGCAAAUUAAUAGACAGCUCAAAACCAUA